rnacentral:rRNA from 1 species
GACGAACGCUGGCGGCGUGCUUAACACAUGCAAGUCGAACGGAAAGGCCUGCUUUCCCUUGUGGAUUGCGGGUACUCGAGUGGCGAACGGGUGAGUAACACGUGAGUGAUCUGCCCCCAACUUGGGUAUAAGCCUGGGAAACUGGGUCUAAUUCCCGAUAGGACUGCAGGGUGGUGCCUGUGGUGGAAAACGAUUUUCUAGUGGUUGGGGAUGAGCUCGCGGCCUAUCAGCUUGUUGGUGGGGUAAUGGCCUACCAAGGCGGCGACGGGUAGCCGGCCUGAGAGGGUGGACGGCCACAUUGGGACUGAGAUACGGCCCAGACUGCUACGGGAGGCAGCAGUGGGGAAUAGUGCACAAUGGGCGGAAGCCUGAUGCAGCGACGCCGCGUGGGGGAUGACGGCCUUCGGGUUGUAAACUCCUUUCGACCGCGAGGAAGCCACCUGGUUGGAAGGGUGGUGACGGUAGUGGUAGAAGAAGCACCGGCUAACUACGUG